GGCAAAAUAGGGGUUUUGCUGUAAACCGGAAGAGAGGCUAUUUCCCAGUAAGUCCGUCGCGACAGUUGCCAUAGCAACAAAUCUAUCUGUCUGACUGACCACCGCAUUGGGUGGUCCGUGCACGAGGCACCAUACAUUCAGUCAGUCGGUCGCCAGCUACCCGCGAGGACGUACUAAACUUUCGUUGUAGUCCAACUGACAAACUAUUUGACUUAUUUGCCGUAUCUACGAUACUUACAACUGAAACCCUGAACGUAUUCAACUAACGCUUCUACUGUUAGACGAGACGAACCCGCAGACGAGCCCGCACUCCGCGUGGCCGUACCCCGGACCACUGAGAACAACUGCCCUCCUCUCCACCAGCGAUAACAGACUCCCAAAACGUUGCCCAGGCCGGCGGGCGCGAAGAUACGUAGCCCCUUUGCCUUCUCUCAACCAGGGAUACAGACAUAAAAAAGUUGCAAUACCAUGGGCCUUAGCUAGUGCGCAAGCUCUAGCUGGCAGUUGCCGUGCUAUAGCCGGGACAAUCACAUAUGCCAGAAGCCGUGGUCACAGCUGACUCAAGCCUCCCGGUCACAGAGCUGAUCAUGACAACUGACUCCAGUCUCCUUUGUGUAAAAUUUUGCUUCGAUAUUGUUGAUGAUGGUAGAAGGAGCAUGCUGAUAUCAUAUGUGUAUUAAGUAGUAGCAUCGUCGACAGAAAGAAGGAAACAUGGGAAGGAACCAGAUCAGUAGCAGAGCCAUCACGUGCAGGCUAUGUAAUGCAUUGCUAGCCACAGUAAACCUUACACCAGUUAAAGAUUACUGGGAUGACUUACAUACGUCUGUAC